UCCUAUUCUCAGGGCGGGGUGAAAUUCCCCACCGGCGGUAUGUGGGUUUGCCCCAUGAGCCCGCGAGCGCCUCGGUUGUAUAGCUUUCGAGGGUCAAGCAGAUCAGGUGAGAUGCCUGAGCCGACGGUCAUAGUCCGGAUGAAAGAGAAUGUGC
rnacentral:ncRNA from 1 species